GGGACCGUCGUCCUUUGUCUUGGAAAGAAAAGAAGAAAGGAUCGGGUUGUGUUUGGAAAGAAUUGUGAGAGAAGAAGAAUGGCGGAGCACUUGGCUUCCAUUUUCGGCACUGAGAAGGACAGAGUUAACUGUCCCUUCUACUUCAAGAUCGGCGCUUGCAGGCAUGGCGACCGUUGCUCCCGUCUCCACACCAAGCCCAGCAUUAGCCCCACCCUUUUGCUCUCCAACAUGUACCAACGCCCCGAUAUGAUUACCCCUGGCGUCGAUCCUCAGGGCCAACCUCUCGACCCUAAGAAGAUCCAGUCCCACUUCGAGGAUUUCUACGAAGACUUAUUUCAGGAACUGAGCAAGUAUGGGGACAUUCAGAGCCUCAAUAUUUGUGAUAAUCUGGCUGACCACAUGGUGGGUAAUGUCUAUAUCCAGUUCAGGGAGGAAGACCAAGCCCAAAAUGCUCUCCAGAAUCUUAUUGGAAGGUCUUAUGAAGGGCGUCCAAUCAUCGCAGACUUCUCCCCUGUAACGGAUUUUCGUGAAGCAACAUGCAGGCAAUAUGAAGAAAAUGUAUGCAAUCGAGGUGGCUAUUGUAACUUCAUGCAUCUGAAAAAGAUAAGCAGAGAGCUGAGACAACAAUUAUUUCGGAAGAGUAGACGUAGGCAUGGCCGCAGUAGAAGUAGAAGCCAUAGUCCUCGUCAUCAUAACUAUGAUGGGCGUCAUGGUUCUGGCAGAAGAGGAGAUCACCGCCACCAUGAUAGAGGUAGAAGGCCAAGAAGCAGAAGUCCUGGUCGCAGGAAUGGAAGAAGCAGAAGCCCUGGGGGAAGGCGAAACAGGAGUCCAGUGAGAGAAAGCAGUGCUGAAAGAAGGGCAAAGAUUGAGCAGUGGAAUAAGGAAAGGGAGGCAGAAUCUGCUAUAGAUAAUAGUAAUAAAAGUGAUGAUGUUAGUCAUGUUCACCAGCAGAAAGAUGGCCCAACCAAUGACGAUAAUCAGCAUCCAGCACAGCAAGAAAAUGGAAAUUAUGACUUCUGAAGACUCUGCAGAUAUUUGGGGUGGGGAAGGUUCUUUCUCAUGUGGUAUUGUAGGAAAGCAAAUCUCCAUUUUCUUCCUUUGUCCUUCCAAAGAUCUAGCCUAUGAUUUAGGAGGGUUAGAUGGCAAAAGCUACGGGAACAUGAUUGCAAAUAUAUCUAUACAUAUCCUAAAGAGGACCAAAAUAUUUUUAAUUAUAGGGAAUACAGAAUGCCAUUGAUGAAUCCCAUGGAAGAAAUAAGAAAACGAAGUGGUUUGCCAUUGCUUUGCCCCUAUCUGACUAUGAUCAUAUUUGGUUCUUUUGAGCACAUCUUCCACUGAUUCCUCUGCAAUUUCCCUGCUCGUAACUCUUGUUGCUGGGUGGAGCAUUCCACCCUUUCUUAUGUGAAAUAUCCUCAUGUUCCGUUUGAUAGGCCAAAGUUUCUCACACUAGAAACAAAAUCUUGGCACAAAAUUUGUAGAGACCAGGUAAGUUCCUCUUCCAUAGGACCAAACCACAUGUUGAGCUGAUAAACUUUCUGAUCAAUAUAGGUAGGCCACAUCUCACACUAGAAACAAAAUCUUGGCACGAAAAUUGCAUAGACCAGGUUUUGCUGUUAUCUGCAGAGAAAGACUACACUAUAUAGGGAGCGUGCUGGCUGCGGAAUUAAGCGAUGAAUGCAUCUUUCAAUAUAUUCAUUUUUAAACACAAUACGUACCUGCAAUUAUGGCUAUGCUUAGCUCAAGAUUUUCACGAGGCCUGUACUAAUGUUAUGUCCAUCAGAAUGAAUUAUGGUACUCUUGUUCUCAAUGCUCCUGAUAUGCACAGUGGGAAUUCAUAAUUUUAUUUUAUUUUCAGUUGUAUCAUCAGUUUGUAUGGAUUUGCUGUAGUUACUGCAAAUGUUAGGUUGCUGCCCCCUUGUACUGUCAUUUGUAUCUUACGAGUAGCAACACAAUGAAUUGGUUCCUUUUCUGCAA